rnacentral:miRNA from 1 species
UGGGUUGACCAAAAAGUUCCUUCGGGUUUUUCUGUAAGAUGUUACGGAAAAACCCAACCGAACAUUUUGGCCAACCCA